GUUCAAAACCUGUCCUACAUUCCAGUACUUUAUGAAGGCGUUCUUAACAGUUUUGAAGUCUAAUUAUUCUCUUUUGCUUUCUUCGGAUUGUUUUUGACUCACAAUUGGCUGUCAAUCCCAGAAGGGCAAGGAUCACAUGUGAACUUGGUCCCUUCCACACACCAUUUCUUUAUAUGCUGCAUAGCCCGUGGUAUAUUCCUGUUUGUUGAAAUGCAGCUGUCUCUUAGGGGUACAGAGGUGUCUAAUAUCCCCGAUCUUUGGGAUGGGAUAACUUUCAAAUGUAGCUCUGUUAAAAAGCAUUUUGUUAAAUAUCAUUUUUAUUUAUCUUGUUAUCAGAGUACCAGAGAAGCAGAAAUCAAACUGAAAAGUGAAAGCAGAGUUAAACUUUUUUACUUGGAUCCAGAUGUCCAGAAGCUUGACUUUUCACCAGCUGAGCCAGAAGUGAAGCCAUUUGAAGAGAAGUUUGGAAAAAGGAUCCUUGUCAAGUGCAAUGACUUAUCUUUCAAUUUGCAAUGCUGUCUUGCUGAAAAUGAAGAAGGACCAACUACAAAUGUAAUUUUCCUCUUUAAGAAUAAAGAUUUUUUUAAUGUUCAAAGAUCCCAGAUGUGAAGGUCGCUCAUUUACAGUGCAGUCUGCAUUUGAAAUCCUAGUUGCCAGUACCAAAGAAGUGGAAGGUUUAGAUCAGGAUAUUUAUGGAGGUUCUUCAGCCUUCGGGGACAGGAUGUUUGAGGACGUUUGUGAUGUUUAGGGAAGAUAGGUUUAUGCUCAGGGUUCCAGGUGAGGAUUUUAUCCUAAAUUAGUGAUGGCGAACCUGUUAGAUCUUCCCAUGAUAACAAACAGCCUGCUGUGGCACGUGUGCCAUAGGUUUGCCACUGUUCUAGGUGCUUGAGGAAGAGCCACAAUCGUUUUCUGUGGAGCAUACAUUAAGUACCAAAGCACAUAAAGGUAAAUAGUUGUUUUGUUUUAAAAAUGUUUUAUAACCUAAUUCUCUAUGUGAUACAAGACAAAACUAUUUAUCUCUAGUAGUAAUUUAUGGCAGCAGUCUAUAAAUAGGUCUCAUCAUUUUUUCUUUGAUAUCAGCAUGUUUUUCCCCAGCUGUUUGAGCCAGAGUGAUGAUCUGAAUUGUUCUGUUUUAUUCAGGUAGAGCCUUUCUUUGUUACUCUGUCCCUGUUUGACAUAAAAUACAACCGAAAGAUUUCUGCUGAUUUCCACGUGGACCUGAAUCACCUGUCAGUGCGGCAGAUGCUGGCUCCCACGUCCCCAGCUCUGCUGAAUGGUGGCCAGAGCCCACCUGCCCUUCAGGAUAUCCUUCAUGCAGCCGCCAUGCAGUAUCCAAAGCAGGUAGGGAUCAGGGCCCAGCACGUGUACUGCUCAGACUUACCUUGCACAUGCUGUAGAAAUACAUUAUAAACCCAGAAUGAGACCUUGCAGUGCACAAGUAGAGUAAUUUAGAGUGUUAAUUAUGUGGACAGUGUAUGUAAUUAGACAGGAAAAGCAAACCGAGGAAGUAGUGGUUUUGAUUUCUCACCUCUUCUAAGCUUUCUCCUUGUUGUCUGCCCCACCAAAUAGACUUUUUGAGCAGAUGAUAAACUAUUGCUCAGCUCAUCAAUUUGGCAUUGCAUUCUCACAAGUUGUACUGUUUCACUGUUUUUUGCUGCUUUAAUGGGUAUGGGAUUUGUUUAAUGCAGCUGUGAAUUCUACUAACUGAGGAAAACUGUCUCCUAGGGAAUAUUUUCAGUCACAUGUCCACAUCCAGAUAUAUUUCUUGUGGCCAGAAUUGAAAAAGUCCUUCAGGGGAGCAUCACACAUUGUGCUGAGCCAUAUAUGAAAAGUUCAGACUCUUCUAAGGUAUGAACGGCUUUAAAUGCUUGGUGAUAAUGAAAGUCAAUCUGAAAAAAAUGAUUUUUUUCAAAAUAUAAAUGCUUAAUGAAUUCAAACGUAAGGUAUCCAUAUUUAUAGUCUAAAAUAUGUAGAAUACUUAACAUACAUACAUUUCCUCUCUGUUCAACAUUAUGGGUUCAUGGAGGGCAAGGAUAACUGGGAAUCCAGAGCUUUGCGGAUGCUAAGCUCCUACUCUGCCA
rnacentral:lncRNA from 1 species